CACCGAAGCCUUUAGCUAUUUGGCUAUUUGGCAAUGUGGUGUUCAGGUUGGUUCGCAGAAGCACUGCUCCACUCCGAGUCCAGCAAUGAGUACGGUAUCCUGGACAUGGCCCACGGAGGGUGAAAGGCCCGUAGGGGUGGAGAUCUCUGGCCAGUGCCUCUCUGGAUUGACCUUGGAGUCGGGUUGUUUGUGAAUGCAGCCCAAAGUGGGUGGUAAACUCCAUCCAAGGCUAAAUACAAGCACGAGUCCGAUAGCAAACAAGUACCGUGAGGGAAAGUUGAAAAGUACUUUGAAGAGAGAGUAAACAGUGCGUGAAACCGCUCAGAGGUAAACGGGUGGAGUUGAACUGCGUUCCCCGUGAACUCAGCUGGUGAGGAUGAUAUGGGCUUGGUCAGAUUGGUUGAUAACUGAGGUAUGCUUAGCUGCAUGUUCCGACCCUCGGGUUGGUAUGUACGUUACGCUUGUCACGCGUUGUACGCCUUGGUUUUCUUCUGCCUCCUUGCCAGUGCACUUUCUCGGGGUGAUCACCAUUACCGGCGUUGCUGCCUGACUGCUCUAGUCGAACUGAUCUUGCACCGUCCUUGUGGCGUUGUUUGGUCGGGAUGGCAGGUAGCUCGUUGGCUUGCGUAUGCUUGCUUUCGGGCGUAUUCAGUUGAUUAGAGCGGGACUGUGCGGUACGUCGGAGCUGGCGGCUAGUUGUGCGUACCUGYGUCUUACGCCUUUCGAGAGUUCCUGGUCCGGUUAUUAUGUUGCCUGUUUUGGCAGGUCGAGUGAUGGCCGGGUUCUUUUCGUUUGGCGAUGAUGCGGGCGGCACUUCAGAGGGCCGAUAGUUUGUGGUGUUGUGGUAGACAUCCACCUGACCCGUCUUGAAACACGGACCAAGGAGAGUAACAUGUGCGCGAGUCACUGGGCGUAACGAAACCCAAAGGCGUAAUGAAAGUAAAUGCCUGGCUUGUCCAGGUUGAGGUGAGAUCCUGCCGUUUCUCACGCAUGGUACUACCAAGCAUUGAUCGGUAGGCGCAUCACCGGCCCGUCCCAUGGCGUGGAUAUGGUCAUUGAUUGUGCAGCGUCGGGGCGGAGCAUGAGCGUACAUGUUGAGACCCGAAAGAUGGUGAACUAUGCUUGCGCAGGUUGAA
rnacentral:rRNA from 1 species